rnacentral:lncRNA from 1 species
ACAAAACAAAGAAAGACUUAAGAAGCACUCCAAUCAACAUCACAUUACAUAAAAAACAAUUAAGUAUGAAAUUUUUUUAUAAGUAAUAUGGUCCUUACACGACUCCAUUGGAACAAAACAAAGAAAGACGUAGAAAAUACUCCAGUCAUCGCACUACCUACAAAAAUAAUAGAUGUGAAAUUUUUUUUAUAGUGACAUGACCAUUUAUAUGACUAUGUAGGAACCAAACAAAACCAUAAAGACUUAGAAUUUAAGAUUCCAGUCAUUGCGCUAAACAACAAAUGUGGAAAAUUUUGUGAAGUGACAUGGCCCAUAAAUAGACUUUGUACUUGGGAACAAAACAAAAAGACUUAGAAAAUUCGCAAGAUACCCACAUUGACCAUUGUCUAUAUUUUGCUAACGUAAUAUACAGACUAUUACUUCAUUGAUUUUGAUUGAUAAUUUCUUUUGAAGGAAUUCUGUGUCAACAAAAGUGGUGCUUAUGUAAGUUCUGUAUAAUAUACUACCUACGUACGGUCUUUUAUAUAAAAAAUAAAAGAUAACAUAUUUUUUUCUUUUAAUUAUAAGAAUGAUAAGACUACUUUAUUAUUAAAUCUGUGAUAGUAUAUAAUUCAUAAUUCAGACAAUAUUUAUUGAUCUUCAUAUCUUGCACCGAAAAAAAUCCUAAGUCUUAAACCAUUCAAACUUAUAAGUUUUGUCGCCAACCAAACUUGGUGGUAAUUAGGGAGAAUUGUUUUUGCUUUUGAAAAUUAUAGUGUUUGCUGAAAUGACAACUUGAACCGGAACUAACUUAAUGGUUAUAUCUUGAAACUUUGGUGCUGUUUCUCUAUAUGUGUAUACUAUAUACUUGAACGACGAUUUUACUUUAGUUUGGGUAUUUUUUAUUCUAAUCCAAUCCAGGUUUAGUUUUGUUUACAUUCUGAAUUAGAAUUUGAUAGGUGUUGGCUUUUUCUUUGUUACUGAUCGAUGCAUGAGCCUACUCCCCAAACCUAUUGUUAUUUCUUGAUAAUCAGUUUUUAAGUUUCAUAAUUUUUAUUUUAAACCAAACCAAACAUGGAAGUAACAUCUUAUCUUUUUUGAAUAAAAAAUUAUAACUUUUUUGGUAUACCUUUUUACAACAUUUUUCUCUCUUAUUUAAAAUUUUGAGAAUAGGACUCAAAAGUAACAUUUUUGUAAGUAAAACUGAAAACAAGAAAUAUGAAUUUAUUUUCUUUAAAAAAAAUAAAUAUGAUUUAUGUUUUCCACAACAUAUUAUUAUUAUUAUUAUAAUUUCUUUUGUAAAUAAUAUUGUCAUUGUCCCAAUGUGGCGGUCAAGUGAGUUUUUCAAAAGAAAAUUGAGAAGUCAUCAUCAAUGUUUAUUUAAGGAAAACGUCAGAAAAAAAAAUGAAAUGAUUUACAAUUUGAGAAAAAAAGGAUUCAAAAAUUAUUUACGUGGAAGGUAUUAACACCUCACUUAUCCGUCAUGAAGAUGACAACCUUUAAUUCAGUCUAAUAAAAAUAAAAACGAUUUCUUAAUUAUUUAUCUUCCCUUGAGAACAUGAAUUAUGUUUGCUAUAUUUUGUUUAAUUUAAAAAAAGAAAACAAAUUUUUAUUUUUAGUAAAGAGGAAAUUUCAUGUUUUUUUUCCUAGUGUUUUAGGUCAACAAGGGGUUUUCCCUUAUUCAUACAUAUCCCCAUGUGUAAUGAGAAAAUCAGACUUAUGUAGUUCUUUGGUAAAAAAUAACUUGUGUGUUGGUAGAUUUUUUUUUUUGAAUGAUUGGUAUUUAAUUGUGUGAAUAAGAGUCGUUAAAGUGUUGAACCUUGAAAUGAUAUUGAAUUCUAAAAAAAAAAAUAGAGAGAAUCGCUUAAGGCAUUGAAACGAUUCGAGUAAUGUGUAAUAUUCAUUCAGAAAAAAAAAAAGAAUUGAAUGUUCAUUUAUUUGAACAUUUUGACUCCCUUUUUAGAAAAGAUUUUGGUUGUGACAAACGUUACGAAGUAAAGAAAGUUAGAGACCUAGCACAACAUUAGCAAAAUUUACUCACAUGUUAUUAAAACACCAUCAACUAAGUUAGAAAUCCAACAUAAGAUGCACGAAACAUAAAAAAGAUAAAUUAAGUGAUUAUUUAUUUGAGUAUUUUUGCCUCAUUAGAAAAGAUGUUGGGUUUGCGGUAAACUUUGUAAAUUCAUGAACUUACGGAUAUCUGAUUAAAUGCAAGAGGCUGCAAGUUUUGCAUCAGAAGGAUCUGUAAUGAAUGAGUUGAAGCACUGGAAUGAUUUGUAUGGUGAAGGAGGUUCGAGGAAGAAACAACAGCUCACUUACUUCCUUUAGAUUGUGGAAUGCGACAUUUAUUUUUGGAUUUGUGACCAUUCAUCCUCAAUGAUACCUUUAACAAAGAAAGAAGUCCUUCAUCAGAGAUGUUGAACUCAAAGCAUGCCCAAAUGUCUCACUAUAUCCCAAAUGUCACAGGGAUAUCAUGAUUCCCAGAAAAGCACAAGUUCUACCACACACAUCUUCUCUAAAGGACGUGUGGAUCGUCAUGCACUAUUUGGCAAGCAUCUUAUCUCUUCCUACUCCAACACUAUUUGCCAACUCUGCUCAAAGAAGGGAC